CCUACGGGAGGCUGCAGUGGGGAAUAUUGGACAAUGGGGGGAACCCUGAUCCAGCCAUGCCGCGUGUGUGAAGAAGGCCCUCGGGUUGUAAAGCACUUUCAGUGAGGAAGAACGCCUGGUGGUUAAUACCCAUCAGGAAAGACAUCACUCACAGAAGAAGCACCGGCUAACUCCGUGCCAGCAGCCGCGGUAAUACGGAGGGUGCGAGCGUUAAUCGGAAUUACUGGGUGUAAAGCGCGCGUAGGUGGCUUGAUAAGCCGGUUGUGAAAGCCCCGGGCUCAACCUGGGAACGGCAUCCGGAACUGUCAAGCUAGAGUGCAGGAGAGGAAGGUAGAAUUCCCGGUGUAGCGGUGAAAUGCGUAGAGAUCGGGAGGAAUACCAGUGGCGAAGGCGGCCUUCUGGACUGACACUGACACUGAGGUGCGAAAGCGUGGGUAGCAAACAGGAUUAGAUACCCUAGUAGUC
rnacentral:rRNA from 1 species